rnacentral:misc_RNA from 1 species
CACCCAUCGGUCGAGCUGCGCCCUGUGCUGUGAAGCUCUUGUUUCAGUGCCCUCCCUGCCGUGCCGCCGCAACCGCGCCGCGACGACGGCUGUCACGCUACCGCGGAGGACGGUGCCGCCUGAUGCCGACGCGGGCGUCGAGGCCUACCGGCACCGCGUAGCCCGCAGAGCUGACAUCGGCGGCGGCGGCGGUGAUAUGGCGGCGUCGCCUGUGGAUCAUUCCUUGUGUCGCUUUUCGUCCGUCGCGGGCGUCUUUCCCCGCUGGCGCGGCGUCUUGCCGAGAUGCGGAGGCGUGUACGACGCUUAGCGGUCCAGCGGGGAUGGUCUAUGCAUCACUUCACGGUGAACCACUGGCGCACCGCUCGCCAUCACAGGAUAGGGCCCUUUCCCGUUUGCCCGUUUUUCCCUCCCACAACGCAGAGGGAGCAACCGACCACGCUAUGUUUGCGAUCUCAGCAUUUCAUUGCGGCCGCCGCGCGGCGUGCUGCGAUGGCUUCCGCAGCCACCGUAGCAUGCCUUUCUGAGGCGGUCACGCCCUGCGACCACGCGCUCAGCCCUUGCCACUGCUGCCCGACGUGGCGUUUCUGGUCCGCGCGAAGUGCUGCGCGCACAACCGCAGCAUCGACAGCCGCUAGGCUGCUGGCGUGGGGCGGCGGGGGUAGUGGCCCAUCCGCGACAGAGGCGACACGCCAGCGAGCCAGUACCCACAUCACGCGCCAUAUCGAGCUGAUCGCCGGCCUGGCGGUUCGUGAGGUCCGCCGAGUGGCGCAAUGCGGGGGGGGGAGUGCUUGCGGAACAGCGCCAUCGCGCCCAGCGGGGGCCUGCGCCCUCCUGCACUCCCGCGGGAUUUUCAGGACGUGGGCGGUCGCUCCUCACUUCAAGCCGUGCACCGCGCGCAGCUGUUCCUCAUUCGGGCGAUGGCUCGACAACGGCCUCUCGCCGGUCUUUCCCCCCUGCAUGCCCUUCCGCACCCACACAGCCAGGCACUCAGUUCCGUCGCCACGCACGGCGCACAAGCGAUGCGGACGGAAGAGCACGGUGCUGCACGUCCUCGCCGCCCCCCAGAAGCGCACCGUUACCGCGUCAGAUGCAAUGCGCGGCACGCUCCGGCGCUCCAGCCGGGUAUCUCGUCCCAGCGGCUGCCGGACCUUCUCAGGAGGUGCAGGCCGGGGUCAGCGGCACCAGCGAACCCGUCACUCCAGGGGCCGUGUCCAGCAGCGUCGGCCCGUGGGGUGAUUGACCCAGCCCCCGAACAGCAUGCAUGUCUCGGCCACGCCCGCGCGUUGCCCGACACUACACCUUCAUGUAGCGGGUGGACAGCAGUGCCGUGUACGUGUCCAUCGGCAGGCUCCUCCUGUCUGCCAAGAGCCGGCACCGUUUGCAGAUGCUGCCAGGCUGCGUCCACCUUGUCGCGCUCCAGAUGCUCUGCUGAAAUCGCCCCGCGCUUUCUGCGUGCUGCGGACCUUCACCCGCGGCAUGGCGGCGUGUAAGGGUGCGGGCUGUCACAGGAAGCUUGCAGCAGCGCACUCGCUCCUUCCGACUGCUGCGCUCUUCCGUCCGCCUCCGCCGUCCCACCUCCCUUCCUGUCCUUUGUUGGACCCGUGGCGUCGGUACCCCGAUUUCCCGCUGUCCUGCCAGCGUGGGCUCUCUCUUCCUCCCUUCUCACCGUCCCAUGCUCCUGCUCCUGGUCAAACAUCAGGGUCACGGGGCCCAUCGUCCGCUUGUCCCGGAAACGCGCGCUGCCGACUGGGAGCCCGACUGAGGACGCAGCCCACGGCCCCCGCAAGGCUAGCGCUGCGUCGCGGCUCUCUCCUUGCGUCGCGUCGUGCCCCUUCAAUGCGGCGCCGUGCAUCGUCGACAACACGACGACCAGGGCCGGCAUCGCGCACCAGCCUGGGCAAUACGGGCCGGCCGUGAGGAUGCGGACCAGGUGGGCGCUCAGCGCGGCCCACAUCACACCGCCCUUGAGCAAAUGGCGCCGAGAGCGGUAGUUUCUCCCUGCGCCGUCGAGAGGGCGCUCACCGGGCCGGCGGUCGCUGGGCGGCGCUGGCAUCCCCAUGGCACCGGCGAGCAAGUGCCCACGCACUCAGGCCGGGGGCCGACCGCAGCCGACGGCGCCGCAGUAGAAGGUGCGAUGCCCGGCACUCCGCUGUUCGAACGCGAGGAAGCGACUGAGAAGAGCGCCCGUAUGUCUUCGUCCGUCGGUGCCCGCGCACGCGAGGGUGCGCCUCAGAGGCAACGAUAUCCAUGCCCUUCCACACAUGCCGCAGCGCGUCCCCUGUCCGCACCCGCUCCUUCUCCCGGCACCGGGCGCGGGCGCCUUCCACCCAUCUGCUGACAGCCGCUUCGAGGCAGCUGCCCAGGGCGGGGUUCUCGAGGCGACGGACGCACUCCUCCGGCACCCGCACGCCCUCCCGCAGCAUCAUGAUCAUUCAAACACCCGCAAUCAGUCCAUCGGAGCCAGCGGAAGAGGGGCCCCCUCUGCAACGUCACCACCACAGCCGCAUAAACAAUAUCCCUGUCUGGCAGACUUCCUCUCGCGUGUAUGGGAGGGACUGGAAUGGAUGUGGGGAUCAAUGAAAUGUGGUAACGAGUAGACUCGUGCGUGCAUUC